rnacentral:rRNA from 1 species
AUUGAACGCUGGCGGCAUGCCUUACACAUGCAAGUCGAACGGCAGCACGGGUGCUUGCACCUGGUGGCGAGUGGCGAACGGGUGAGUAAUAUAUCGGAACGUACCUUAUUGUGGGGGAUAACGCAGCGAAAGCUGUGCUAAUACCGCAUAAUCCCCAAGGGGGAAAGCGGGGGACCGUAAGGCCUCGCGCAAUUAGAGCGGCCGAUACCUGAUUAGCUAGUUGGUGAGGUAAAGGCUCACCAAGGCAACGAUCAGUAGCUGGUCUGAGAGGACGAUCAGCCACACUGGGACUGAGACACGGCCCAGACUCCUACGGGUGGCAGCAGUGGGGAAUUUUGGACAAUGGGGGCAACCCUGAUCCAGCAAUGCCGCGUGAGUGAAGAAGGCCUUCGGGUUGUAAAGCUCUUUUGCCAGGGAAGAAACAGCAGCUCUAACACAGUUUGCGAAUGACGGUACCUGAAGAAUAAGCACCGGCUAACUACGUGCCAGCCGCCGCGGUAA